rnacentral:tRNA from 1 species
GCUGGCGUAGCUCAAUCGGCAGAGCAGCUGAUUUGUAAUCAGCAGGUUGGGGGUUCAACUCCUCUCGCCAGCU